AUACUUACCUGACAGGGGAGAUACCGUGAUCAAGAAGGCGGCUCACACCGGGUGAGGCUCAGCCAUUGCACUCCGGCAGUGCUGACCAUUGCGAAUUCCGCAAAUGUGGGAAUCUCGACUGCAUAAUUUCUGGUAGGGUGGGACUGUGCCCACUGCUCACC
ensembl:snRNA U1 U1 spliceosomal RNA